rnacentral:rRNA from 1 species
UACGUAGGGUGCAGGCGUUAAUCGGAAUUACUGGGCGUAAAGCGUGCGCAGGCGGUUUCUUAAGUCAGAUGUGAAAGCCCCGGGCUUAACCUGGGAACUGCGUUUGAAACUGGGAGACUUGGGUGUGGCAGAGGGGGGUGGAAUUCCACGUGUAGCAGUGAAAUGCGUAGAUAUGUGGAGGAACACCGAUGGCGAAGGCAGCCCCCUGGGUUAACACUGACGCUCAUGCACGAAAGCGUGGGGAGCAAACAGG